GCCCUGGUGGCUCAGUGGUAGAGCACGUCACUGGUAAUGACGGGGUCGGGGGUUCAAUUCCCCCCCAGGGCU
rnacentral:tRNA from 1 species